AUGCUAGAUGAUUUGCCAUGUAUUGAGUGCAAUUAUGCCUUUAGUCUUGAUAAUGAGUUUGCCCCCGUAGCAUUCUUGCAUAUAUUUGGAGAUUUUGACAUAUUUCUUGUGAAGCAUGCUUGUCUUACCUCUUUGCAUCAUAUACCUAGUGCCAUGAAUAUUGCCAUUGUUGCAUCAUAUUAUUCAUGCACUUGUGCUUCUAAUGGUUAUGUGCAAAAGCAUAGAACCAUCAUGAUGGAUGAUGUGUUUAUCUACCAUGCACAUACGUUCUUUGUUUUGUUGUGUGCAUGUGUAGGAUACUUGGACUUUGUGUCGACUUCCACGUCACGUGAGUUGACAAUUCGAGCUCUUGAGAGCGAACCACUUUCUACCAUGACGAUUCUACAUUGCACUUGCUUGUACUUCGGCAUUGUGAAGGACGCACAAGGACAUGCUUUCAAGGUGAUAUCAUUCUCUUUCGAGAACCACCAAACCUUGAGCAUGGAUAUAAUGGAUCAUACUACUUGUGUUGCUUGCACCAUGAGACUUAUUGUUCAUAUUGGACCACUUGAUUGCACACAUGAUAGAGAUCUUGCUUCCAGUUGUCAUUUUCACCAUUACAUGCAUCAUGAUAUAUAUGCAUUGUGUGUUGCAUCCAAUUCUUGGAUUACUUGCUCCUAUCAUAUGUUUGGUUGCAACAAUAUCAUUUCUUCACAUAUGCCAUGUCCCAUUGCUUGUCACAUGAUUGACUUGAUUGCCUCACACAUGAUGAACAAUUGCUCUUUUUAUUGUGUUGAGUGCCACAAGAUUUUCACUACACCCUAUGCACGUUAUGCUUGGAUUGUCUUGCACUUGACCCAUGUGUUUAGACACUUCAUUUUAUUUGGUGUUGUGAAUGAUUCAUAUGCCUACCACAGACCUUUCAUUGUGCAAUUUGUGAAUGCUUUCUAUGACCUUGAGGUAGAUGCUUAUUCUCUUGUCAAACAUAUUUGCAUUUCUACCUCACAUUUACAUGCUUGUCCCCAUGAUAUCUUUGCUUUUGCUCGAUUGAUAUGCUUACAUGCCAUGUCACAAUCCUUUAUCACACCAUAUGCUUUGCAUGAUGCCGACACUUGUUUGGUGACUCACCUCUUGAAUGCUUGGUUUUGUACUAACGCUAACCACAUUUGUUUUUCCAAGUGUUUGUUGUCCUUACUCCUUUUGAAGGAAUCACAAGACGGUGCGACAUUGGAGAGUGCCCAUUUCGAGCUUCAAGAUGACAAAUACUUGGUGACCGUACACUUCUACACGACGAAGCCAUCUCUUUCCCAUGGUGAUUUGGUUUUCGAUCCGAGGUCGGAUCUUUCCCAAGGGAGGGGAGAUGAUGCGGAGCAUCCUAUGGACAUCACCAUGUCAAGAGUCCGUUCGGCGAGUGACACGUGCGACAUCUAUUUCGCAUACACAAAGGUGAAUCAUCUCCUUUACACGUGCUCACUUGACCCCUUCGAGGAUGGUAUACUACUUGACACUUCUCCCGUGUGCAUGCAUAGGUAUUGUCGGAGCUUCACGGAUGACGAGGAGGAGUGCAAGCGCCAAGGAACAACUACACCAUCCGCGAGGGAAGCCUGGAAGCGACGAUGGAAGAAGACGGAGCUGCUGAAGCUACAGCGGCCGGACAUCCGGGCCAGAGGCCGGACAUCCGGCACCUGUGCAGCCGGGCAACAACUGCACCAAUAG
rnacentral:rRNA from 1 species